AUGAACGCUGGCGGCGUGCCUCAUACCUGCAAGUCGCGCGAACAGACGAGGAGCUUGCUCCUCUGACGUUAGCGGCGGACGGGUGAGUAACACGUGGAUAACCUACCUAUAAGACUGGGAUAACUUCGGGAAACCGGAGCUAAUACCGGAUAAUAUAUUGAACCGCAUGGUUCAAUAGUGAAAGACGGUUUUGCUGUCACUUAUAGAUGGAUCCGCGCCGCAUUAGCUAGUUGGUAAGGUAACGGCUUACCAAGGCGACGAUGCGUAGCCGACCUGAGAGGGUGAUCGGCCACACUGGAACUGAGACACGGUCCAGACUCCUACGGGAGGCAGCAGUAGGGAAUCUUCCGCAAUGGGCGAAAGCCUGACGGAGCAACGCCGCGUGAGUGAUGAAGGCCUUCGGAUCGUAAAACUCUGUUAUUAGGGAAGAACAAAUGUGUAAGUAACUAUGCACGUCUUGACGGUACCUAAUCAGAAAGCCACGGCUAACUACGUG
rnacentral:rRNA from 1 species